rnacentral:rRNA from 1 species
GCCCCAGCAGAAGCGUACGCGCACCGCGAAAUCGAGCGCGUCGUUCGACGCGGCUUCCGCGUGCCCUUCGUGCCAGAUGCCCGCGAGACGGCUGCCGAUCCGAUACGGAUUCGGCCGGCCCGCGAGAUAAUCGGCGAAGCCCUGCCGAUAGGCGCCGUAUAGCGUGAGCGGCGCGUCGUCGCAAGGCGCGGCGCGUCGUCGCAAGGCGCGCCGCCGGCCGAAACGAGCGGCUCGGAUCUCACCUCGGAGACCAGCGUCGCGCCGUCGAUGUCGUUCGGCUUCCCGACGUUUGCGCGGCGGCGCUCGACCUCGACGAAUCCCAUGUGAAGCUCCCUGAAUCCGGUUCUUCACCGAAGAGGAGCAAUAACGAUGCCAAUCGCGCCGCGCACCGCGAACGCCGUCGCGACAAGGCCGCACGGCCGCGCUCGGCGCGCCGGAUGCCGACGUUACGGGAACAUGUCACGUGACAUCCGUCCGGCGUGAGGCGACACACGGCGGCGAAUUGCGUCGCACCGCUGAAACGCCGCCUAGCCGCCUCAUCGCCCCAUCGUUUCGUCGCCUCAUCGCUUCGUCGCCUCAUCGCUUCGUCACCUCAUCGCUUCGUCGCCUUGUCGCUUCGUCGCGUUGUCGCCCCGUCACCGCACGCGUGCCGCGCGCAAGAAGCGCGAAAGCGCAUCGCACGGCUUCCGGCGGCUGGCGCCCAACCGGCCAGCGCAAAAACGCGAUCCGGUCACUCGCGUCGAACCGGCGAAUCCUGGCUGGCCGUGCCGCGCGCACCGGCCUCGGCGCGGACCGCGCAUCGGCCCGGGCCGUUGCGUUCGCCCGCGCGGCUCGGCUCACCGCGAUCCGACGGCGGCGCGCGGCUCCGAGCGCUCGGCGCGCGCUCGCCGCGACAGCGCAUGCCGACAGCGUGCGCAGAGCGCGUCGCCGCUAGCGUGCGCGGCGACGCUCGGCUCGUGCCGCCAGCAGCGCUCGCAGCGCGCGAGUGGCGUGCGCGCCACCGCCACCGCGAUCUGAUCGGCCGUCUCGAGCGUCACGCCCGCGACGAUGAAGACCGCGGCCAGCUCGCCGUGCAGCGGCGCCAGCGCGUCGAGCACGUCGCGCGGCGCGCGCACGACGAGCUCCGCCUCGCUCGAGCGCCCGAUGAGCGCCGCGCCGCGCGCCUCCUCGAGCGCCUUCGUCACGUGAGGCCGCAGCGCGCGCACGUGCGCCCAGCGCGCGAGCGCCGCGUCGUCGGGCGGCGGCGCGUGCUCGUCCCACGUGUGCAGGAACACGCUGUCGCGCUCGUCGCCCGCGAACACCGUCCACGCUUCCUCGGCCGUGAAGCUGAGGAUCGGCGCGAUCGAGAUCAACAGGUUCGCGAGCACGCUGUGCAGCGCCGUCUGCGCGGCGCGCCGCUCGACGCCGUCGGCGACGCUCGCGUACAGCCGGUCCUUCAGCGCGUCGAGAUAGAAGCCGCCGAGCUCCUCCGCGCAGUAGCCGUGCGCGAGCCGCGUCACCGCGACGAAGUCGUAGCGCGCGUACGCGCUUCGGCACGCGUCGACGAACUC